CAUUCCCUGGCCGCGUGCCGGCCAUCUGCCUGCUCCCCUGGAGCAUAAAGUCCGACCCCACGACCCCCCAGGCGAACCCUAGCCCCCACUUGCCCUCCCCUCGCGCCGCUUCGCCCUCUCCCCCUCUGUCUUGUUUGCCUGAGCGCGGUCGCCGACGUGCCGCCGUCGAUCCCGCGGCCACCAACCAACGUUCGCUGCAUCGAUUAGUCCAGGAGGAUCGUCACCGUCGACUACGUCCGUCCAGAGCAUCAAUUCGAGCGGAGCCACCCUAUACGCUCACUAUCGACCUCAUUUCCACCGCGUACAUCCUCGUCGUCCGUGGUCAAUUGCCACCGCUCCGGUCCGUCCCCGACCUCUCCGAGCACAUCAUCUACCCCGUGUGUGAAGGGCCAUUUGGAAACAGACGAAUUGAGCAUUAUCCAUGGCUGGUACUUCUUUCACGCAGCUAGACUCCUCCCAAGAUUUGCACUCACAUGUGAUUUUUUUGUGUCUGCGCACAAAUUUUAUCCUGGAGUAAAAAUUUUGUGUGUCCUACAUGAUUAGUUGCAUGUAAGAUUUAUGGUGGAGUAAAGAUGAUUGAAGUUUAGUAGUAAUUGCCAAUAAACCAUUUUCUAAAACAAUAUGUAUUUCUUUUGCAAUCCAUACAAAUAAUAUCCAUGUAAGGAAGUAAGUGUUUGAGGCGGUUUUAACACUUUGCA